CCUACGGGAGGCAGCAGUGAGGAAUAUUGGACAAUGGGCGCAAGCCUGAUCCAGCCAUGCCGCGUGCAGGAUGACGGUCCUAUGGAUUGUAAACUGCUUUUGUACAGGAAGAAACAGUUCUACGUGUAGAACCUUGACGGUACUGUAAGAAUAAGGAUCGGCUAACUCCGUGCCAGCAGCCGCGGUAAUACGGAGGAUCCAAGCGUUAUCCGGAAUCAUUGGGUUUAAAGGGUCCGUAGGCGGUCUAGUAAGUCAGUGGUGAAAGCCCAUCGCUCAACGGUGGAACGGCCAUUGAUACUGCUAGACUUGAAUUAUUAGGAAGUAACUAGAAUAUGUAGUGUAGCGGUGAAAUGCUUAGAGAUUACAUGGAAUACCAAUUGCGAAGGCAGGUUACUACUAAUGGAUUGACGCUGAUGGACGAAAGCGUGGGUAGCGAACAGGAUUAGAUACCCUGGUAGUCCACGCCGUAAACGAUGGAUACUAGCUGUUGGAAGCAAUUUCAGUGGCUAAGCGAAAGUGAUAAGUAUCCACCUGGGGAAGUACGUUCGCAAGAAUUGAAACUUAAGGAAUUGACGGNNGNGAGNGCGAGACGACGACGAGGGAGAGG
rnacentral:rRNA from 1 species